AGGCGAUGAUGAGGGACAUGUCUUUGGAGAUCUUUGAACCUCUCCCAAGUUUCAUAAAGAGAUUCCCCAUCAUAUUGAUAAUAGUCAAUGAUGUCCUUGGUCAACUU